rnacentral:rRNA from 2 species
AGACCCGAAACCCGGUGAUCUAGCCAUGGGCAGGUUGAAGGUUGGGUAACACUAACUGGAGGACCGAACCGACUAAUGUUGAAAAAUUAGCGGAUGACCUGUGGCUGGGGGUGAAAGGCCAAUCAAACCGGGAGAUAGCUGGUUCUCCCCGAAAGCUAUUUAGGUAGCGCCUCGUGAAUUCAUCUCCGGGGGUAGAGCACUGUUUCGGCUAGGGGGCCAUCCCGGCUUACCAACCCGAUGCAAACUGCGAAUACCGGAGAAUGUUAUCACGGGAGACACACGGCGGGUGCUAACGUCCGUCGUGAAGAGGGAAACAACCCAGACCGCCAGCUAAGGUCCCAAAGUCAUGGUUAAGUGGGAAACGAUGUGGGAAGGCCCAGACAGCCAGGAUGUUGGCUUAGAAGCAGCCAUCAUUUAAAGAAAGCGUAAUAGCUCACUGGUCGAGUCGGCCUGCGCGGAAGAUGUAACGGGGCUAAACCAUGCACCGAAGCUGCGGCAGCGACGCUGAUGCGUUGUUGGGUAGGGGAGCGUUCUGUAAGCCUGCGAAGGUGGCCUGUGAGGGUUGCUGGAGGUAUCAGAAGUGCGAAUGCUGACAUAAGUAACGAUAAAGCGGGUGAAAAGCCCGCUCGCCGGAAGACCAAGGGUUCCUGUCCAACGUUAAUCGGGGCAGGGUGAGUCGACCCCUAAGGCGAGGCCGAAAGGCGUAGUCGAUGGGAAACGGGUUAAUAUUCCCGUACUUGGUGUUACUGCGAAGGGGGGACGGAGAAGGCUAUGUUGGCCGGGCGACGGUUGUCCCGGUUUAAGCGUGUAGGUGUGUGUUCCAGGUAAAUCCGGUUCACUUUAACACUGAGGCGUGACGACGAGGCACUACGGUGCUGAAGCAACAAAUGCCCUGCUUCCAGGAAAAGCCUCUAAGCAUCAGGUAACAUCAAAUCGUACCCCAAACCGACACAGGUGGUCAGGUAGAGAAUACCAAGGCGCUUGAGAGAACUCGGGUGAAGGAACUAGGCAAAAUGGUGCCGUAACU